UGCUACAUUCAGCAACCAUGGCCAGAGGUGUCUACACUGGACAAACACCUGUCUAAUCUACACAAAAAGGAAAGGAAAUCAAGAUAAAGUAAUUUUCAUGAGGCAGAUUUCUCCAAUCAAGCAUACAGCUUUUGAGUAUUAUUAAUGUACAAUUUAAAAUCACCCCAUUUGGUUGAGAAUAAAGCAUCCUUUGAAAGUCUCCAAAAACAGGGGAAGCAU